rnacentral:rRNA from 1 species
CCUACGGGUGGCUGCAGUCGAGAAUCUUCGGCAAUGGACGAAAGUCUGACCGAGCGACGCCGCGUGCGGGAUGAAGGUCUUCGGAUUGUAAACCGCUGUCGGAGGGGAUGAAGUAUACGAGAGCUAUCUCUUGUAUUUGACAGAGCCUCGGAGGAAGCACGGGCUAAGUUCGUGCCAGCAGCCGCGGUAAUACGAACUGUGCGAACGUUAUUCGGAAUCACUGGGCUUAAAGGGUGCGUAGGCGGUCAACUAAGUCACGUGUGAAAUCUUCUGGCUCAACCAGAAAACUGCGCGUGAUACUGGAUGACUUGAGUGAGGUAGGGGUGUGUGGAACUUCCGGUGGAGCGGUGAAAUGUGUAGAGAUCGGAAGGAACGCCAGCAGCGAAAGCGACACACUGGGCCUUGUCUGACGCUGAGGCACGAAAGCUAGGGUAGUGAACGGGAUUAGAUACCCCUGUAGUC